rnacentral:tRNA from 1 species
ACUUAAAUAAUUUAAAUAAAAUAUUGAUUUGUGGUAUCAAAAAUAUGAGGAUAUUCAUUUUAAGUU